UAAUCUUAAUAGGGGUGCCUUAUAACAACGGGCUGAGAUUAUACCCAUAGAACCUGUACACGGGUAAUGCCGCAGCAGGGAAUAGGCGCAGCGAACGG
rnacentral:ncRNA from 1 species